AUUCAGACCGCACGAACGAGUGAUUUGGUCCUGGUCCCCCAGCUCGCGUCGCCCACGCAACGUUUAUUAUACCGAAAGACAAUCGCGUAUCGGAUCCUGGCAGGAGUGCAGGAUAAAAUUUCGGCUGAAACGAAGGGCGUCCUGCGGAAUAAUUCGCAAAACCCCAUUUCUGGGCGAAAUUCUCAGGCAAUCCAAGUCUGCCGUUCCAACGGAAAAACCGUUUCGCAACCCUGGUCUGGUGGUUCUGUAUACGAAGAGAAAGAGGAACAAGGAGGGAGGGUUGAAAGACUAGAGAAGUUCGUUGGAAGGGGAGACGAACCGGCGUCGGUUUCAACCUUAUUUUGACGGUACGGAUCCGGAGAACCAACCACCCCCCAACCCCCACUACUGUAUGGUUUUUGGCGCUACCAUCGUCGGCGUAAACGUCGACGCGAACGUCAACGGGAACGCCAACGUUAAAGAAGUAGGCGAUCCCUAGUGUUCGCGCAAAUCGUCACCGGAGUAUGGUGCUCCGGGUUGUGGCCAUGCCGUGUCGAUCGUCGCGCGGUCGGCCCAGCUUUGACAAAAUCAACCCCACGUAGCGAACACGACGAUACAUAUAUCAGACGAAAAAGAAAAAAGAAAGAGUUAAAAAGGGGAAAAAGAGAAAAAAAAAAAAAAACUGUGCAGUUCUAUCCAGUGGAGAGAAAAGUAAAAUAAUUUCGUGAUCCGCGUUAACAAACCACCCCAAGUAAAACCAAUGCUGAAAAAGAAAACUAAGGGUUUGUUGAAAAAAAAAGAACUAGAUAAGAAAUGAAACUAGAACUCUGUGUGCUCGACAAGCGUCACCAUAAUUCUAAUAGUGAAAAACCACUUCAGACUGAUAAUAAAUAGUGUACAGAUCGUGUUAGCCUCCGUUUCUUCGAUACAGUAAUUAUGGGUGUGGAUUUCGGUUGAGGGUUGAUAUUCAGACGUUGGUAUCAGAAUUUUGAUAUUCAUGUGUUCAACCGUGAGUAUCGGUGAAAAUCGUCGUUGGUAAUUUUGUCACCACAUAAAAAUCGGUCGUACAUCGUAAUUUGGAGAACUGGAGCACGGACCUAUAAUCGAACGAACCUCAUCAAAGAGAGGAUGAACAUGUCGUGGAGUUUUUGUCCAGGAUCGGAAUUGCAGAGUAUAAUAUUAACGAAACUGGUGUUCAUACAUGGGAGUGUUAAAAUGAUUUUCUGAAUUUCACACAAAACCAGUCUUGUGUAGCAACGCCGCAAAAAUUGACUACCAGCUUCUGAUAUUCGAAUCACCAGGACGAAUACGUCGUCGUCAACAAAGUCCAGGUCGAGUUCUAUCCUUUCUUUGCCAACUGGAGUCGUAAAAUAAUCGAAGCAAAAAUAAUUCAAAAGGCGAUCAAAAGACGCGAGAGAUUUCUCGAUAAGAAAACAGUGAGGAUUCGUGCACCUGCAUUAAGAUAACCGUUGCAAAGAAAGAACCAGAAUCUAAAUCAAAAGAAAUAAAAAAAAAAAAAGAAAAUUCCAACAUACACAUACGUACACAGUGCGGACGAGAAUAGAAGUGUCCCAUAUACUCGCGUGUGACCUGUUUUUCAUCCUUUUUUUCUUUUAGUUUUUCCAAUCAAUGUUGAGUAGGCUAGUGGCUCGUCCUUUCGAAGGGCGAUCCUUGCCCAGCUGCAAAGUAAUCGGUGAUCGACCUGCUACUACCGCUGCAGUGGUGCUUUUGUUCAGUUGAUUUCAAUCUAUAAAUAAAACAAAUAAGUGAAUAUAUACGCAUACUGCAUAUACAUUUUUUUCAAUUUUAAUUUACUUUUCUUUAUACUUCCCUCUUCAUUCUUCUAUUAAUUUGUUUAUACGUUAUUAUGCAUAUACUUAUAACAAACGACUGUAAUGAGAAGACAUGUUAAUUUUGUAAUUUUAAUUUCUUAGUUCGCUUUUUCAGCUUUUUUAGUUUUUGUUCUUUUGCUCCCCUGUUUGACCUGGUGAACGUGUUAUAACGACGCAGAGUUUGAUAUAUACAUACACUAGAAUGGCAUAUGUGCGUCGCGACGUAAACGAGAUAUAUAUACGUACGUAUAUAUAAUAUAUAUAAAAUUGUACAUGUGUGGUGUGUGCAGUAGGAGGAUUCAUUCAGUAUAACGUUUUAUACCGACUAUUGAUCUGACGUUUCGCCGCCAAAGAGAGGAUUUAUUAUUUGUCCCUCCAGUAUUACAUAUACGGAGUUCAGAGUUUUACACACCUAAUUUUCUUCUUCGGGGAACGAGACAAAAAAUUAAAUAAACAAAUGAUAAUGAGAGUAUGUAGAAUGAAAAAAAUUUAGUACAUUUGUUGAGACGUUAUCAAUAUCUCUAUACAUACCUAUAAUACAUAUAGUGUGGUUGCAAAGGUGUGCAUCUUGCCUUUUAUAUAUGCAUAUAUAAUGAAAAAUUAUUAUCAUUAGAACAAUUUAUAUAAAAAAGAAGAAUACGAAAACAAGAAAACAGGUGGUAAAUAAUGCACAAACCGCACCACAUUCUGUGAUCAUGAUUUGUUAUAAUAACGAUACGAACUACGCCUGCAUUGGUAAUUAUCCCCAAUUAUCUAAGGACUAUAAAUUCAUCGGCAAAAAACGUGAUCGUGAUUUUGAUUCCACGGAGUAUAUUAACAUUGCUAAUAUCAAUAAUAAUAAUUAUUACAAUAAAACCAACAACAACAACAAUAACAAUAAAAAUAAUUCUAAUAGUGAGGCUCGUCAUAGUCCCUUUGGCCAAGAAACGCUGUGCGAAACUGCAUCAGGGGAUCAAGCUAUAAUAAUAAUAAUAAUAAAGUUUUUCAAAAACUUCAACCAUAAAAGUUUUUUAAACAAAAUAAUAAAUACUAAUUGUCAACCUUAUAGGCUACGCGAUCCUAUAGGAUUAUCAUUACUAUCAUGUACAACUAUAUACUUUACAAAUUAUACAAGAUUAACAAAAAAUUAUAACACACGUUGUUCAAUACCUCGGAGUAUCACCGAUAACAAUAACAACAGCAGCAAGAACAACAAAAACAACAACAAUAACAACAAUAACAGUUAUAGUAAUAAUAGUGAAUCUUCGUUAUCAUGCAUGGGAUUAUUUGAGACUAGUUUAAAGGUGUAUUUAGAAAAAUCGGACCUCGAUUUGACGAUAAUAUUAAUAGUAAUAAUUUUAGGAAUAAUUGAAAAAAUAAUAACAAAUCCCUUAGAUAUCGUCCUGAGCUCGCUUUCGCGUCCGGGGGGUCGCUAAUUUUGGCUCCUCGGUGGCGGAUGACUCGACCGAAGAAGAGUUUUCGCCCCGUAGUUGUAGUCAACGCCCCAGGAGUUUCGACGCCCCUGGAGGUUGAAUCGGAGAAUCGGUUGAAUAUAAAGCCGGGACAUAACAAUAACAAUAACAACAAUAAUAAUAAUAAUAAUAAUAAUAAUAAUGAUAACGAUAACGAUAACGAUACAAAUGACGAUGUAAUUGGUAAACACAUUAAGAGACCAUUUUUCACCCUUAAAAUAAUAAAAAUAGUACUAUUAAUUAUAAUAACAAUAUUAAAGAGAACAAGAACAAUAAUAAUAAAGAUAGAUAGUAAGGUUUUCAUUUGGAUUAUAACGAGAGGAUUUAAAAAAACGGAGGUGGACUGGGUUACGAGCGACGAAUCAGCCACCCCGUGAUGGCGGACCUUCCAGACAUGUCUCACCUAACUCCAGAAGAACGGCGCAUCAUCGAGAGCGUCAUGAUGCGCCAGAAGCAAGAGGAAGAACGUGAAAAUGAGAUUAUGAGGAGGAAACAGGACGAAGUCCAGGUCCUUGAAGAGACUAUACGGGCGCGGUCAGAGCAACAUAAGAAGGCCGGGGUGGAGCUUGAUGCCACCUGCCACAUCUGCCUUAAAACAAAGUUCGCCGAUGGCGUUGGCCACAUCUGCAACUACUGCAACAUCCGGUGCUGCGCACGAUGUGGAGGAAAAGUUACCCUCCGUUCCAACAAGGUAAUAUGGGUCUGCAUACUGUGCCGAAAGAAACAGGAAUUGUUAUCGAAGACCGGACAAUGGAUGACGAAGUCUGGUCUCGGUGCAGCGGACACCGCUAUGCUUCGGCGAAUGCAGGAGGACAUGCAGGGCGUUGGAUUAUUACCGGGUCAUCAAGAGCAAACGCAGGAUAAAAGGCCGAAACUCGAGCGGGCUCACAGCGCUGCUGAAAAAGAGAAUCUUCCGCUUUUACAACAGAGCGGUAGCAUUCUCAGAAGACAAUACUCUCAGCAGGAGCAGGUACCCGCCCGUCGGAUAUCGAUGAGUGACAGCGGCGUUGAGAUGUCGGUUUCACCUCAUUCAAGGUCUUUGCCGACACCUCACGUCGUCGUCGCUUCUUACGGGAUGCAGCAGACCCCCAGACACCCGGAUGCCUUUCCCGACGACGAUCCGAGUCUGUACAGAGGAGAGCUCGACGGUCUCAUGCGACAGCACGCCCAGACCUAUCAGAGACAGCGACAAAUAUAUCAGGAGCUGAACUCCGAGCUGGUAAUGGCUUACGGUCACCCCGCCGCGGUCGAACCUUCUUCGAGGGUUCAGGUGCAUCCGUCGCAACAGCAUCCAACUCAUAUAUCGCAUCAUCAAAUUCCCCCCAAUCAUCCCGGAGUUCAAGGAGGUGGUCAGGGUGGUCAGGGCGGCAUUCAAACCCAGAGGAGUUUUAGCAGCAGCGAAGAGGAGCUCAGAAGCACACCGGAGUGUGCGAGCGACGAACCGGACGAGUCAGAGAAGGGGAAGGGGUACAGCUACGACACGGGAGGACCGACCUCCCUUUCCAGGGGUGUGAGAAGGUUCGGACCACACAAUGGACACGUAAGGACAACAACGACUACCAUUGAUCACAACGGUCACCAUCCCCCUAGAGAACCGCGGAAAGAAGAGAGCACGCUCGUAAGAAGAAGCUUCAGGAGAAGCGCCGCCGAUGAAUUCAGGAGCGCUGAUAGCAGAAGGUUUACUGAGAGGAGGGGGAAAAAGACGGUUCGUUUUGACGGUGGCACAAACGUCGUUGGUCUUCACGAGGAGGAAUGGUCAUGGGAGGCUGAUAGACAGGGAAGUCAGGAUAGUGCGACUAAAGAUUCUGGAAUCGACACAUCCAGUACUUUUACAAGUAGCGAAGACAGCAAUCGUGGAGAUCUGCCCAAGCACCCCUUACCCUGGCAGGUGAGCAACGAUGGUCAAAAAAUGAUAGGUCACAUGACACUGAGGAAGUCCCAAGGUGCUGGUAAUUCAGGAAGCAGCAGCAGCAUCCUGGGCCUCAAGGUUGUCGGAGGAAAACUAUUGGAGAACGGUUCCCGAGGGGCGUUGAUCGAGAAGGUAAAAAAGGGGAGCACCGCGGACCUUGAGGGACAACUAAGACCCGGAGACGAGGUCAUCGAGUGGAACGGAAGAUCCCUUCAGGGGAAGAGCUUUCAGGAGGUAUACGACAUCAUAGCGGAGUCCAGGCAGGAACCGCAGGUCGAAUUAAUUGUAUCGAGGAGCCUGAAUCCCUCGACAAGCGUACCGAUAGCUACCGCUAUGACACCCAACGUCCCGUCGACCGCCGCAGCUAAAAGAGGAGUCGCUCAGGCACAGUGGAGGCAAAAACACGACCCGAAUUCCGGUACCGGACAACAAACGCAUCACCACAAAGAAUUGUACGAUUCAAGGCGAGAAAAACCUUCGGUGUUGGUAACUUCACCAGGUUCCCCAGAUCUUCAUGCCCAGGGUAGAAGUAGACACGGAAGACACCCCGGUGGAAACGCAAACGUUGGUGGAAGAUUCCAAGUCAAACUUGGCUUCGAUACUGCCGGUUUACAAUUAAUAGUUACCCUUGUUUGUGCCUCGGAAUUAACACCAAGGGGAAAUGGACAACCCAGAAAUCCAUACGCAAAAAUAUUUCUACUGCCGGAUAAAAGUGAGAAGUCUAAACGGAGAACGAAAACAUUGGCGAACACAAACGACCCUAAGUGGAACCAGACUUUUGUUUAUAGUGGCGUCAGGAGAUCAGAACUCAGGCAGAGAGCAUUAGAAGUUACAGUCUGGGACUACGUCAGGUACGGUGCGAACGAUUUUCUCGGUGAGGCCAUACUUGAAUUGGAGGUUUCAGCUUUGGACCAAGAGCCUGAAUGGCAUUACCUGGUAGCUCAUGAAUCGGAGCAGCACAGGCACGCAGGACGUUAUCAGGACCAUACGGACGACAUGGUGACGACACCGGUGGACUGUCACUUGAGUCCACCAUCGACCACGUCCAGAUUAAGCGAUUCCGAUACGUCGGAAUGCGACAUAACGGACUGUGACGGUUCCAGAGAGCAGAGAAGAACAGCUGACGGAGCCAGUAUCAGCAGCAUAGGAAGUUCUUCUAGGUUUCAUAAUAUGUCGUCAGUUUAUAAGCGCCACUAUUCCAGCCCCCCGCCUGAGAGGGAACUCAGCGUCGAAGGAGAGCACAGAAGUCGACGGGACAUGUCACCUCAAGGCCACAAACGAGCCGCCCUUAUGCUCUCCAGGGACCAACAACCCGCAUCGAUAUCCGACUAUCACCAGUACCGAAAGGAUGACACUCACGGUAGGGGUGCUCUGGGAAGUAGAUCUCAUAGUGCAGCACCGAUGGAUUCGCCUAGUGUUCACUACAAAGGUCGUUCGCAAAGUCCAACCGGACAUCACAGAUCUUUAUCUCCUCCCGAACACAGGACGGCACCAUAUUCGCACGGGUACCCUCCUAGGUUUAGCUCGAGAUCAGCGACCGCGACGCCGACCGGUUCGCCUAAAAAAAGGCAGCUCCCACAAAUUCCCGCUAAUCUUCACGCGGCUCUGAAGGAAAGGGUGACUCAGGACCUCGAGGAGAGGACGAGGUUCAUAAAACACAGGACGAGACAAGUGCACACGACUUAUAGAAGCACGGGGAUGGGAGGGUGGGAAAGACACUACAGUGGCCUUUCCGAUUCCGAUUUGCCAUCGAUGCGACACGAUCCGCUCGCCAUAAGCCACGCGCAUCCCCACAGGAUCCACAGACCUCGCAGAGGACACUUGAGUCCGGACAAAGACGUCCUCGGGGAUUUCGGUGACUCCGAUAUGGAGAGCAUAGCGUCGGUCACGAGCAGCGCGUUGAGCACACAGUCGGAAAGACCGCGAGGCUCCAGAACAAGAAUCCCAACAGUUAAAAACGUUUUUAUACCCGGUGUCAUUUCUCCCGCCGCCCCACCCCCUAGGCGCAAUAGGCGCAGGCACAGGCUUAGGGUACCUUGUAGCGAAUGUCACUGCCCCCAAAACAACCCCACAAAAUCCAGACCAACCCUGAAGCACAGCCAGACCCUCGACCCAGCCACCUUGAGCAACCGGUUCCCGAUACAUCCACUAGUACGGAGCAAAUCCGCAGUCGUUCGAUCGCUGUACAAGAAGAUGAAGACACCGUUUACGAGGUCUAGAACAGUGGACGAAAAUUUACUGCGAUAUUAUAGCCCUGAAACGAGCGAGUACAGCGUUACUCCUGGCUACAUGUUACGUCCUGAAAAUCUUGGGAUCAAUUCCCGUAGAAGGAUACCGGAAAUAUACGUCGAGGACUGUCUGAAGGUCGACUUCGACAACGACCUCAUCGACAGAUUCAAGGGGAACAGACUCCCGGUGUAUUCCAGACUGUCGUCCAGACUGACAAAACCGGCCAAAGUGUUUCCCAGGUCUAGAAUUUCCCUCGGGAACGUUAUGCCCGAUUGGACUACGUCAAGGCCGUCGCCAAGAUUCGGUACAAUGCCACGAACCAAAAGUUGCGAAUACGAAUCGAUAUCCGACGAUCAUUUACUCGGCGCCAGAAGAUUCCUGCCACAGAGAGCUAAAAGCUUCGAGUACGAGUCACUACCUCAGAGUAUAUUUAGCGACGACAGUCUUAGAACCGCCAGGAGGAAACUGAAGAGAAAUUUGUCCAUGAAUGACUCCGGGUACGAUGAUAACAUCGAGGCUCUUCAGGACCAGAGCAAACCGUACUACGAUGUCAAUGCCGAGAACAAGUCGUACCCUAGGCAAAACAUGUCCACCGGCGGGACGUCUUAUUACGGUUACGACAGCGAACUCAGUAGCGCUGAAACGGAAAUAAAUCUGUCUUCCAGUUUUGAUAGACAAAGCUUAGAGUCUGUGAUUGAAAUUAAACCGUAUAACAAUGCGCCGAGGAUAUUCGUUGACGAGGAGCACGAAAGUCUACUUCGUAAUAUCAGCAGAGACGACGCCGGUAAACGGAAAUACGAUUAUUCUGAACUGCCGUUCGGAACAAGCGUUCAAAGAACUCCAGAAAAACGACCGAAGGCUUCCGACUAUUCGGAUCAUCGGAGGAUGUCCAGACUCUCCAGGGAUCCUUCAAGGGAACACAUUUAUUGCAGCAUAGACGACGAGCUGGUGUCCGACGAAAAUCGUCUCGAGAGUUUCGCGGUAAGCGAUGAUCGACGGAGAGCGAGAACCAAAAGCAACGACUCGUACCUCGACUAUGACAAGCUUUACGACAGGUGCAGGAUUUGUCAAAGAAGCGAAAUGUGGGAUCCGGAAUCCGAAUAUUUUUACUCGCCGCAAAGCGUACGAUCCAACAGCGACGAUAUUGAGUACAGAUUCACCGACUACGACGAAGAACGUUUUCACUCUCACCACGGAUCCGAUGAUGCGAAUAUCGUUGAUCACACUAGAUCGAUUGACGAAACGAGAAGACAAAGUUUAUCGGUACCCAGUCUUAGGGAAAGUAAGAGAUUAACCGCUAGGGCAGAAUCGUCUCCGCAGUUGCACUCGGAUGACGAUUUCGGGUCUACCGAGACAAUCGGUAACAUUGCGAAUGAAUCGGAUCGUGUGAACAAUGAACGUUGGAUGCGACGCGACGAUAAUCGUGGUUCCAAGUCUGCGCCUGAUUUCCUCUACUCCGAGGAUGAGGAUUUUGGAUCUCGUGAAACGGUCGUUAGUAAAUAUUUCGAUGGAAACGAAAGACGUCGGAGAAAUAGUAGCUGUCCCGAAAGCAGGGACUUGAUUAGUUUCGUUGAUAGAAAUCAUCAUCAUCAGCAGCUAGUCGGUUCUCAGGGUAGCAAAAGAAACGUCGCCAUAAGUGACACUCUGGAGUACUACGAGUAUUCAAUGGAAAGUGAAAGUCAGUGUAGCGAAACCUGCGGAUUUGGCCCGUCAGCAUCAAAAAAAACUUCAGCAGCUGACAAUAGAAGAGUAUCGAACGCAGCCCCGCGCGUAAAUUCGGCCUUGAAUACCACCAUAUCCCAAACCCAGGACCCAACCCCCCCCAGUAUUGCUAAUUCAAUUGUCUUUGAUUCCCUUUCCGCCAACUCCGACACUGCUAAAAACGCUCGGGCCGUAUGCAACAACAACAACAACAACAACAACAACAACGACGAUAACGAAACGAUCAACACGACAUCGCGCAAUGAUCAACAUUCGUCGAAACACCUCGCCUCGGGAUCACCUCGGUCUAAAACCGACAACAACGACUACGAUCAUCGCGAAACAACUUCGACCUCGUCUUCUCGACGUCCUCGUGUCACCGCGGAUCCAUCAAACUUCGAAAACGAUCAACACCGACGGUCGUCAUCGAUGCCCGAAAGCAGAGAGUACCCGUCGAACGCCUACGAGGGUUCAUCGAGGCACGGAAUGUCCGGCAAUGGGCAUUCCUCGAAAAGAGGACAGUUCACGAGGAGUUUGAGUAACGCAGAUGUACCUCCGGACGAAAAAGUUGUAAAUUUUCUGUCACCAGACGGUAGCCUGAGCGAUACAGCCGUGAGUUUGCACGUUGAGGACACUUCGAUACGUGGUAGAAAAAGUUCACCCGGUAGUAAAAGUGGUAGCGGAAGUAGCAGCGGCGGCGGUAGCGCUGUUCAAUAUCAAUCCAGUCUAGGGAAAAAGAGCAUCAGUACCAGCCAACUGUCAGCGACAGAGAGUGGCGGACUCGGUUCUGGCGGAGGAUUAAGUCGCAAGAGAAACAGUACACCAAGCAGCAUUCAACGCUCCCAGGAGGUUGUCCCCCACUACCAGCGAUUAUGCUCUUCUUCUUCUUCGAGGUCCGCUGCUGCUGCUGCCGCUGCUCACGCGGCCUCAUCCGUAUCCAGUGACAUCGCGGGGAGCCUCAACUCAAUCUCUAGUUCCGAAGGAAGCUCCUGGUCGCCUAGCCUUCGAAUGGCGGGUGAAGGGGGUCAACUCAGUGAUUUCAUCGGGGGCUUAGGACCGGGACAACUUGUCGGUCGUCAAGUACUUGGCGCCCCUUCUCUUGGAGAAAUUCAACUGUCGAUGUGCUUCACGAAAGGAUAUUUGGAAGUUGAAGUUAUCAGAGCGAGGGACCUUCAAGGACGACAGGGGAACAAGGUUAUACCAGCGCCCUACGUCAAGGUCUAUCUCGUCAGCGGAAAGAAAUGUAUAGCAAAAGCGAAAACUGCAACCGCAAGAAAAACGCUUGAACCACUUUAUCAACAGCAAUUAGCGUUCAGAGAAAAUUUCCAAAACUGUAUCCUACAGGUUACCGUAUGGGGCGACUACGGCCGAAUAGAGGGCAAAAAAGUGUUCAUGGGUGUGGCACAGAUAAUGUUGGACGAUCUGGACCUGUCGAACAUUGUGAUCGGGUGGUACAAGCUAUUCGGAACUACCUCCCUGGUCAGUGGACCUCCCUCUCUCGGGUUGUCCCGUCGUUCCUCAGCCGCAUCCCUCGAUUCCUUGAAACUCUGAAGUUUGUUAUGAGGGGCGACGCGUCCCUCUGUCUAAAUGAGUAGAGUAUCUCGAGAAGCAAAGAUGAUUCGCGAUCGUUCCAUAUCGAAUCCCACCAAUUCUAUAGGAUGUACAACUUGUGGGUGAAAUAGGCGGACCUCUGAGAACCCUUGAAAAUAAUUUUCAUCGUGGGAUUAUUUUUUCAAUCUCAUGUAAAAUUAGAUAUUACGGAUAUCGAUUGAUUCCAUUCAUCAGAUUUUGAAAUGAGGUUCGUAGAUGUGUGACUCGAGGGCUAACACGAAGACAAAAAAUAAUCCAUGUAUAACGUGAUAUAGAUUAAAAUCCAUAUCAUCUAUUAUCGAUAGCUCACGCGAUAGUUUCUGCAUAAAGAUAAAGUAAACUCAUGUAUCGAAGAGUGAGAGACUUUCAAUUACUGACAACUUUCACGCGACUCGUUCUGAUUAUCAAGCCUUUCCUUCUCCCGGCACUUAUUACCAUACCUUUUCAACCAAAUCAAAACGAAAGAACACAAAAUACUGAAUGAAACCAAAGAUGCUAAUUCAAAUUAAUAACAAUAAUAAGACUAAUACUAAUAAAAAAAAAAAGAUUGACAGUGAAAGCAUUCAUGCUAUCUGAACUAUUUUCCCCGAACGAAAACCGAACCGGAAAAAAGUACGAGUGUGAGGAGAUGAUGAAUAGAUUGAUUGACGGCUCUGAAUACGGUAAAAGCAAUACAAAAAAAAUCAGAUCACCGUAAGAGAUCAAACAAAAGAAAGAUCAAAAAGAAAUAAUUUGACACAAAGCAAAAACAAAACAAUCAAAAUUAUCAAAAAUGGAAAAAUGAAACACAGAGAAAAAAAAGAUAAUGUUAAAAUAAUAAUGUAAGAAAACAAACAAAAAAAAAAGAAAUAAAAUGAACAUGAAUGUAAGAAAAUUAAAAAAAAAAGGGGAGAAUCAUACUAGAAAAGUGUAAGUGAUGGGUCUCCUAGACACUUCUAGUACAUCACAUAUCAUGUACUGCAUAUCACAUCGGCUAUACCACUUAUACAUACCUUAGUCUGUAUGUAAUGUAUGUAUUGCCUGGCGUAGCAAAAUAGAGAAACCUGCAAUGCCCCUGAAAAACAGCGCCAAAUAGCUAAAAUCAUAGUGAAACCUGCAAGAAAGUGGAUAUUUUAUCAUAAAAGAUC